GGGACCCCGCACAAGCGGUGGAUCAUGUUGUUUAAUUCGACGAUACGCGAAGAACCUUACCAGGUCUUGACAUCCCCUGCAAAGCUAUGGAGACAUAGUGGAGGUUAUCAGGGAGACAGGUGGUGCAUGGUUGUCGUCAGCUCGUGUCGUGAGAUGUUGGGUUAAGUCCCGCAACGAGCGCAACCCUUAUUGCUAGUUACCAUCAUUGAGUUGGGGACUCUAGCGAGACUGCCAGUGAUAAACUGGAGGAAGGUGGGGAUGACGUCAAAUCAUCAUGCCCCUUAUGACCUGGGCUACAAACGUGAUACAAUGGCUGAAACAAAGGGCAGCGAAGGAGCGAUCUGGAGCGAAACCCAAAAAAGCAGUCUCAGUUCGGAUUGAAGUCUGCAACUCGACUUCAUGAAGUCGGAAUCGCUAGUAAUCGCGGAUCAGAACGCCGCGGUGAAUACGUUCUCGGGGUUU
rnacentral:rRNA from 1 species